rnacentral:rRNA from 1 species
UACGUAGGGUGCAAGCGUUGUCCGGAAUUAUUGGGCGUAAAGAGCUCGUAGGCGGUCUGUCGCGUCGGCUGUGAAAUCCCGGAGCUCAACUCCGGGUCUGCAGUCGAUACGGGCAGACUAGAGUUCGGUAGGGGAGACUGGAAUUCCUGGUGUAGCGGUGAAAUGCGCAGAUAUCAGGAGGAACACCGGUGGCGAAGGCGGGUCUCUGGGCCGAUACUGACGCUGAGGAGCGAAAGCGUGGGGAGCGAACAGG